rnacentral:rRNA from 1 species
UGGGGAAUAUUGCACAAUGGGCGCAAGCCUGAUGCAGCCAUGCCGCGUGUAUGAAGAAGGCCUUCGGGUUGUAAAGUACUUUCAGCGGGGAGGAAGGGAGUAAAGUUAAUACCUUUGCUCAUUAACGUUACCCGCAGAAGAAGCACCGGCUAACUCCGUGCCAGCAGCCGCGGUAAUACGGAGGGUGCAAGCGUUAAUCGGAAUUACUGGGCGUAAAGCGCACGCAGGCGGUCUGUCAAGUCGGAUGUGAAAUCCCCGGGCUUAACCUGGGAACUGCAUUCGAAACUGGCAGGCUAGAGUCUUGUAGAGGGGGGUAGAAUUCCAGGUGUAGCGGUGAAAUGCGUAGAGAUCUGGAGGAAUACCGGUGGCGAAGGCGGCCCCCUGGACAAAGACUGACGCUCAGGUGCGAAAGCGUGGGGAGCAAACAGG